UACGAGGGGGUGCAAGCGUUGCUCGGAAUUAUUGGGCGUAAAGGGUAGGUAGGUGGUCUCACUUUGUCUGGGGUGAAAGCCUUGAGCUUAACUCGAGAAGUGCCUCAGAAACGGUGAGACUAGAGUUCUGGAGAGGGAAGUGGAAUUCCUGGUGUAGAGGUGAAAUUCGUAGAUAUCAGGAGGAACACCAGUGGCGAAGGCGGCUUCCGUGGACACCAACUGACGCUGAGACGCGAAAGCAUGGGGAGCGAACAGG
rnacentral:rRNA from 1 species